rnacentral:rRNA from 1 species
GAUGAACGCUGGCGGCGUGCUUAACACAUGCAAGUCGAACGGUGAAGCAGAGCUUGCUCUGUGGAUCAGUGGCGAACGGGUGAGUAACACGUGAGCAACCUGCCCCGGACUCUGGGAUAAGCGCUGGAAACGGCGUCUAAUACCGGAUACGAGAUUCCACCGCAUGGUGAGUUUCUGGAAAGAUUUUUUGGUCUGGGAUGGGCUCACGGCCUAUCAGCUUGUUGGUGAGGUAAUGGCGCACCAGGGCGUCGACGGGUAGCCGGCCUGAGAGGGUGACCGGCCACACUGGGACUGAGACACGGCCCAGACUCCUACGGGAGGCAGCAGUGGGGAAUAUUGCACAAUGGGCGGAAGCCUGAUGCAGCAACGCCGCGUGAGGGAUGACGGCCUUCGGGUUGUAAACCUCUUUUAGCAGGGAAGAAGCGAAAGUGACGGUACCUGCAGAAAAAGCGCCGGCUAACUACGUGCCAGCCGCCGCAGUAA